GAGUUUGAUACUGGCUCAGAUUGAACGCUGGCGGUAUGCCUAACACAUGCAAGUCGAACGAGGUAGCAAUACCUAGUGGCGGACGGGUGAGGAAUACGUAGGGAUCUGCCUUUAAGUGGGGGAUAACCCGGGGAAACCCGGAUUAAUACCGCAUGAUCUCGCAAGAGCAAAGUGGGGGAUCGCAAGACCUCACGCUUUUAGAGGAACCUACGUCGGAUUAGCUUGUUGGUGAGGUAAUGGCUCACCAAGGCGACGAUCUAUAGCUGGUCUGAGAGGAUGAUCAGCCACAUCGGGACUGAGACACGGCCCGAACUCCUACGGGAGGCAGCAGUGGGGAAUAUUGGACAAUGGGGGAAACCCUGAUCCAGCAAUGCCGCGUGAGUGAUGAAGGCCUUAGGGUUGUAAAGCUCUUUUACCCGGGAUGAUAAUGACAGUACCGGGAGAAUAAGCUCCGGCUAACUCCGUGCCAGCAGCCUCGGUAAUACGGAGGGUGCAAGCGUUAUCCGGAAUCACUGGGUUUAAAGGGUGCGUAGGCGGCGCUAUAAGUCAGAGGUGAAAGGCCACAGCUUAACUGUGGGACUGCCUUUGAUACUGUAGUGCUUGAAUUAGGCUGAGGUCGGCGGAAUGUGACAUGUAGCGGUGAAAUGCUUAGAUAUGUCAUAGAACACCAAUUGCGAAGGCAGCUGACUAGACCUUAAUUGACGCUGAGGCACGAAAGCGUGGGGAGCGAACAGGAUUAGAUACCCUGGUAGUCCAUGCCGUAAACGUUGGGCACUAGGUGUGGGGACCAUUCCACGGUUUCCGCGCCGCAGCUAACGCAUUAAGUGCCCCGCCUGGGGAGUACGGCCGCAAGGCUAAAACUCAAA
rnacentral:rRNA from 1 species